AGAAUGAACGCUGGCGGCAUGCCUAACACAUGCAAGUCGAACGAACCCUUCGGGGUUAGUGGCGCACGGGUGCGUAACGCGUGGGAAUCUGCCCCUCGGUUCGGAAUAACAGUUAGAAAUGACUGCUAAUACCGGAUAACGACGUAAGUCCAAAGAUUUAUCGCCGAGGGAUGAGCCCGCGUAGGAUUAGCUAGUUGGUGUGGUAAAGGCGCACCAAGGCGACGAUCCUUAGCUGGUCUGAGAGGAUGAUCAGCCACACUGGGACUGAGACACGGCCCAGACUCCUACGGGAGGCAGCAGUGGGGAAUAUUGGACAAUGGGCGAAAGCCUGAUCCAGCAAUGCCGCGUGAGUGAUGAAGGCCUUAGGGUUGUAAAGCUCUUUUACCCGGGAUGAUAAUGACAGUACCGGGAGAAUAAGCUCCGGCUAACUCCGCGCCAGCAGCCGC
rnacentral:rRNA from 1 species